AUAGCGUAUAUUAAAGUUGUUGCAGUUAAAAAGCUCGUAGUUGAACUUCAGACCUGGCCGGGCGGUCCGCUUAACGGCGUGUACUGUCUGGCUGGGUCUUACCUCUUGGGGAGCCGUCGUGCCCUUUAUUGGCGUGCGUCGGGGAACCAGGACUUUUACCUUGAGAAAAUUAGAGUGUUCAAAGCAGGCCUAUGCCCGAAUACAUUAGCAUGGAAUAAUAGAAUAGGACGUGUGGUUCUAUUUUGUUGGUUUCUAGAGUCGCCGUAAUGAUUAAUAGGGAUAGUUGGGGGCAUUGGUAUUGAGUCGCUAGAGGUGAAAUUCUUGGAUUGACUCAAGACCGACUAUUG
rnacentral:rRNA from 1 species